rnacentral:rRNA from 1 species
AAUGAACGUUGGCGGCGUGGAUUAGGCAUGCAAGUCGUGCGAGAAUCUCCCUUCGGGGAGAGGACAGCGGCGAAAGGGAGAGUAACGCGUGGUUACAUACCCUCGGGACCGGGAUAGUAGCGGGAAACUGCUAGUAAUACCGGAUAAUAUCUUUGGAUCAAAGGUGUGAUUCCGCCCGAGGAUUGGACCGCGUUCUAUUAGCUUGUUGGCGGGGUAAUGGCCCACCAAGGCGACGAUGGAUACCGGGUGUGAGAGCAUGGCCCGGCUCACUGGGACUGAGACACUGCCCAGACACCUACGGGUGGCUGCAGUCGAGAAUCUUCGGCAAUGGGGGCAACCCUGACCGAGCGACGCCGCGUGCGGGAUGAAGGCCCUCGGGUUGUAAACCGCUGUCAGUUGGGAGGAAGUGCCAGGGGGUUCUCCCCUUGGUUUGACCGAUCUUCAGAGGAAGGACGGGCUAAGUUCGUGCCAGCCGCCGCGGUAAGAC